rnacentral:siRNA from 1 species
AGAACUUAAACCGCAACCGGAUCU